rnacentral:rRNA from 1 species
UACGUAGGGUGCGAGCGUUGUCCGGAAUUACUGGGCGUAAAGCGUGCGCAGGCGGUCUUUUAAGUCAGAUGUGAAAUCCCCCGGGCUUAACCUGGGAACUGCGUUUGAAACUGGAAGGCUAGAGUGUGGCAGAGGGGGGUGGAAUUCCACGUGUAGCAGUGAAAUGCGUAGAGAUGUGGAGGAACACCGAUGGCGAAGGCAGCCCCCUGGGCUAACACUGACGCUCAUGCACGAAAGCGUGGGGAGCAAACAGG